rnacentral:rRNA from 1 species
AAGUCGUAACAAGGUUUCCGUAGGUGAACCUGCGGAAGGAUCAUUACCAAGAACCACACAGAAAAGGGAGGCAAAGGGGCCUACAGGGCUAGUAGCUUAUACGUUGUUGAACGUCCUGCCUGGACCCGGAGCCGCCCCCAUCUAAACCCUCUGCGUACCUGUCCCUUCUUGCUUCCCCCGGCAUCUCGUCGGGGGGAGGUAACAACCAAAACUCUCUGUGAAUCAAACAGCCGUCAGAAUUAUAAAACAAACAAAAGUUAAAACUUUCAACAACGGAUCUCUUGGUUCCCACAUCGAUGAAGAACGCAGCGAAAUGCGAUAAGUAAUGUGAAUUGCAGAAUUCAGUGAAUCAUCGAAUCUUUGAACGCACAUUGCGCCCCCUGGUAUUCCGGGGGGCAUGCCUGUUCGAGCGUCAUAAAAACCUCCUCCCCCUUCGGGUUUUGUUACUAUCGUUGGGGGGUUUUGGCCUAGUGNNAUAGCGAUUGGCAAUUCGUUUCCCAAUGUCCUAAAUAGACGUAGACCCGCCUCCAGAUGCGACAGCACCGAGGCCAUCAACCGUGGAGUUAUGGGAUAUAAUAGGCUUGCAGUAAANUGCUCACNUCUCUCCACACGCCGAUGGCACGACAGUUGCAGUUGCGGGCGUAAAUUGNAGCCCUUUUCAGGACCCUUGUGGCCUAGCAUCNACCAUACAUAGUUUGACUCGGAUCAGGUAGGGAUACCCGCUGANCUUAAGCAUAUCAAUAAGCGGAGGAAAAGAAACCANCAGGGAUUGCCUCAGUANCGGCGAGUGAAGCGNCAAAAGCUCAAAUUUUAAAGCUGACAUCUNCGGUGUCCGCGUUGUAAUUUUGUGAGGCAUCUCCGGGUAGGGCGNCGGCCUAAGUUCCUUGGAACAGGACGUCACAGAGGGUGAGAAUCCCGUGCUUGGCUGGCUGUCCCCGUCCAUGUGAGGUNUCUUCGACGAGUCGAGUUGUUUGGGAAUGCAGCUCAAAAUGGGUGGUAAAUUUCAUCUAAAGCUAAAUAUUGGUGGGAGACCGAUAGCGCACAAGUAGAGUGAUCGAAAGAUGAAAAGCACUUUGAAAAUAGAGUUAAAAAGUACGUGAAAUUGUUGAAAGGGAAGCGCUUGAGACCAGACUUCGGUAAGGGGUGAUCAGCCGUCCUUUUGGGCGGUGCACUUGCCCCCCUCCGGGCCAGCAUCGGUUGAGGCGGCGGGAUAAAGGUCCCGGGAAUGUGGCUCCUUCACGGGAGUGUUAUAGCCCGGGUGAAUGCCGCCAGCUUCGACCGAGGACCGCACCCGCAAGGGUUAGGAUGCUUGGCAUAAUGGUCUUCAGCGACCCGUCUUGAAACACGGACC